UCAUUUGGGUAGAAGGAAUAUGAUUGAUUGUUUGAGAAUUAUUGUCAAAAUACCUCUUUAAGACAGAUUCUUCCCUGAAGGUGUACUACAACCAUCAGCUAACAAACUUGUGGAACUGAUGCCAUUUCUCUUAGCCAUAAUGUAUAUAUAUAUAAAUUUUUCUACAAUGAUUGCAGUUGGAAGGUGUGGUAACCUUCUUUGGCCGGGUUGCAAUACUGAUAGACCAGAAUACACAGGCAUUCCACAUGUUCAUUACUGCUCUUCUUCAGCUGUUGGAUCGAUCGGGAUUACUAUAUGGAGAGCUUGCUAGAUUUGUGUUGAGACUGCUGGGAAUUAGAGCAAAGCCUAAAAAGGUUCAGCCACUCCUGAUGAUGGUUUAUGAGACUGAUUUAUGCCACUGAGACUCAAAUAUGUGUUCCAUUAGUUUAAUGGGAGAGAAUUUACUU